rnacentral:rRNA from 1 species
AGGCAGCAGUGAGGAAUAUUGCACAAUGGGCGCAAGCCUGAUGCAGCAACGCCGCGUGGGCGAUGAAGGCCUUCGGGUUGUAAAGCCCUUUUCUGGGGGACGAGGAAGGACGGUACCUCAGGAAUAAGUCACGGCUAACUACGUGCCAGCAGCCGCGGUAAUACGUAGGUGGCUAGCGUUAUCCGGAUUUACUGGGCGUAAUGCGCGUGCAGGCGGUUUCGUAAGUCAGACGUGAAAGCUCCCGGCUUAACUGGGAGAGGCCGUUUGAUACUGCGGGACUUGAGGUCGGGAGAGGGACGUGGAAUUCCCGGUGUAGUGGUGGAAUGCGUAGAUAUCGGGAGGAACACCAGUGGCGAAGGCGGCGUCCUGGCCCGCACCUGACGCUAAGACGCGAAAGCGUGGGUAGCGAACGGGAUUAGAUACCCCGGUAGUCCACGCCGUAAACGGUGGAUACUAGGUGUUGGUGGCUAUCGUCAUCAGUGCCGUAGCUAACGCGUUAAGUAUCCCGCCUGGGGACUACGGCCGCAAGGCUAAAACUCAAAGGAAUUGACGG